CUUCCGCAAGUGUAGGCAGAGCCCCCGGAGCCAUGGCCAGCCCUUCCCGCAGCUCCGAAGCCACUGGCAAGCCCCGAGGCAGGGAUGGCCGGCCCAGGAGGGAGGAGGACGACGUCCCUCCCGAAGAGAAGAGGCUGCGGCUCUUGCUGGAGGGGGGAAGCGCACAGCCCCAGGACGGCGAGGACGGGGAGGACGCGCCGCGGCCGGGCAGGGUGGAGACCGGCACCCAGACAGGUGGCGACGGCAGAGGAGUAAGUGACGCGGGCGCGGGGGUCCGGGGGUGCCGGGUGCGCGGGGAUGCGGGGAACGAGGGGUAGGGGCGGCGAGAGGCUCCGUGGCCUGCCCCGGGUUGAAGUUGGGAGGGCGGCCUUCAUUCUGAACCCAUUUAGGCAGCACGGGCAGCCCUCCUCGCCGUGGGCUGCAUCAGAGCCCCCCCUGCCCAGUCUUGGGGUUGCUCCCGGAUGCUGUCUGGGAGGCUUGGUCAUGGUGACAUCCUCAUCUCCCCGUGCACGUUACCGCAUUCAGAGCUUGGGUCACCUGGACACUGAACUCAGGCGAAUUUUCUCUGAGAUCCCGGGAGAAGGAGGACAGUUCUUUGGAAGGUUUUCCAGGGCCGAUCACGGAAAGGAUGAGAAGGGAGAGGUCCUGGUCGGGGACACAAUUACAAUGGCAGUGUAACGCCGGGAAACUUCAUUGCAUGAAGUCCUUCUCACUCCCUCUACCUACCUCUUUUACGUGGACUCUGCCAAAGACCAGGAUACCACAAUGCAGUGGAGUGACCAAGUGUAGUGGGACCUUGGGAACCCGAGUCUGGAGCCAGGCGGCUGGGGUUUGCAUCCUGGUUCUGCCCCUCCUUAGCUGGCUGACAUGGCACAAGCCACUUACCCUCUCUGAGCCUUACUGUCUUCAGUGGCAAAUGGAUUUGCCAACAGGCCCCAUUGCCUGGGGUUGUUACUGCUGAGAUUAAGGGAUGCUCGUCCAUAGAAGCACUUAGCGUUGUGCCUGGCACAUAGUGUAUGGUGGAUAAAUGGGACUUAGGACUAAAACUCAUGCCUUGGUGUGUUUUUGCAGUGAUGUUUUGUUCUGGGGUGCAUCACAAGAGACAAGGUUCCUGGCCGGGCAUGGUGGCUCAAGCCAAUAAUUCCAACACUUUGAGAGGCCGAAAGGGGAGGAUCGCUUGAGCCCAGGAGUUUAAGACCAGCUGGGCAACAUGGCGAAGCCUCAUAUCUACCAAAAAAAAAAAAAAAAAAAAAAAAAAAAAAAAAAAAAGCCAGGUAUGGUGGUGUGUGCCUGUAGUCCCAAGUACUUGGGAGGCUGAGGUGGGAGGAUUACUAGAGCCUGGAAGGUCGGGCUGCAGUGAGCUGUGAUCAUGCCACUGCACUCCAGCCUGGGUGACAAAGUGAGACUCUGUUUCAAGGAAAAGAGAGAGAGACAGACAGACCCACAAGAGUCUUAAGCCAGAAUCUUCAUGUUAAAAUGCCUUCUGGAGGCUAAAAGGAUGAUAUGUUGAUAAUGAAAUAUUUAAAAGGCAGAAACCCCACUGAAUUGUUUGGUCCACAGAGGGAAAUGGGAAUCGCAUGACCUGAAGGAUGAUGGAGGAACUGAACAGAAACCAUCCUUGUUUCCUGAAUCUGAACAUGGCACCCUCUUUUCACGGUGUCUGUAUCUGCUCAGUCCGGCGGCCCCUCGAAAAGAGGGAAUCUUGAUUUUCAAACUUAAAAUUUGGCCCAAAGCCCACUGCUGCCCACAAUGCCCGUCAGACACAUUCCUCUUCCUUUUUAGUUUCUAUGGGAAUACUCUCUUUGAAGAACCCAUGAAGCAGUGUCAGGCUGGUACGAGGAUCAGCAGUGAUUUCUUUGAGGAGGAGAUCCGUUUCUUCACUCACAGGUCAUGUCUGAGUGGAUCAAGAAGAACAGAGGGCCCUUUUAUGAGAUUUUGUCUGCGUAGACCAUUAGCUUGGUAAAAAUGUCAAAACCAUCCUCAUUCUUUAAUAGCAGAUUAUUUUGGACUUUUCUCUGCAAGAAGCAGCAUGGGCAUUCAGAUGCGUUUAAGGAUAAAAUGUUCUUUCUCAUCACCAGGCCUGGUGCUCUGGAUGGCUGAGGUUUUAAUGUGACUUGGUGUUCCUUGGAGUGGCUCCCAGGCUGUGAUCUUGUGGUCGGGUGGCAAGGGGUUGCUUUAUUCGGUGAUGGCUAGAGGAUGUUUUAGCAGGUAAAUCGGGAUCUCAGGAGCCCCUGAGUGCCAAGUCCUGCUGCAGGGCAUGUGUUUAUGGUGGGGAUGUGGGGGCGUGGAGGGUGGGGGGUAUUGAUUUCCUGCCAAUAUCAGAAGUUUCACAGGCUUCUUGUGUAUCCACAAACACCCACCCCAUUGAGAAGGCCUAGAAAACCUGGCCCUCCCCAAGCCUUUAUUGACCACUUGUGAAUGAUCCCAGGGUGUGUCUGACCCACAGCUCCUCCUGGAGGGAGAGAAAAGUGUCUCCUAGGUACUUGGUUAUCAACCUCAACCACUUGCUGAGCCUUCCCCAAGACCAGGCAUCUUGGCAGAGAUUUCUGGGUUGUCAGGCAGAACCGAGCAUUCGAGGGUAAUAACUCACUGGAGUCCCUGAAAUCCCUGAUGGACACACCAGGUAAAAGCAUCCAGGGUUGAAACCAGAUCAGGAAGGUUGUUGUCAGCCUGGGGCUCCUGUAGAGGUGCAUCCACGUUGCAGGGAUUUUCCUUCUUGCUGAGGAGAAACCUGGUUUCUCAGCUUUGCCACAGUCACAACACUUGGGGUGAGACCAUUCAUGGUGGUGGUGGGGGCAUCCUGUGUAUUGUAGGAUGGCUAGCACCAUCCCUGGUCUCCAUCCUCUAGGUGCCAUUCUAUCCUCCCAGCUGUGGCUACCCCAGAUGUCUCCAGAUGGUCUCAAAUGCUGUGGGGCAAGGGAGUGCUGGACUACACAGGCUGAAGCUCUCUCUGCCGAGAUAUAGAUAUUUCCCUGGUGACGAUCUUUCAAGCUGACAUGAAGACAUGGCCACCCACUGGAACGUCGUGUGUCUGCCGUGGCGCUCUUGUAAUUUGUGAGGCAGGCUCCUGAGGAAUGCAGUGCGUAAGUGGGAAAUGGUGGGAAGUUCUCGCAUCCCCCCCCGGGCCGAAAGUGCUGCCUGCACAGGUUGGUGGAUGGUCCUUUGAGCAGGAAGAAGACAUGAAGCACAUUCCUGUUAGCUACGACAGAGAGGGGCAGGGCACACACUGGACAUUUCAAGCCCCUCCAGAAAAGCAAGUCUUACUGUGCUGGGAGUACUUGUGGAGUGCGGGCUGUGUUGCCCUGGGCUUUAAUUAUUUCAGGAACAUUUAACCACAGGGUUGGCAGGCCGGAUCUUGAUACGUGUUUCUUAGUUGGAAAGACUUUGGACCAUAGGGAAAUGUCUUCUCAAUUCUUUUAAUUUCAUUAAGGUUAUCAUUUUUCUUCUUGUGGCCUCUGGAAUGUGACACAGAACUCAAGAGACAGGAAGGAAAUGAGUUGAAGGCUGGGACAGGGGUCCCUGCCAGGGAUGCUGGUGACUCACAUGACGGUGUUGAUGUGUGGAGUCCGGUGCCUGGUUUGGGGAGUGUUCAUGGGAUAUGUUCCAAAGGACUGACGGACCUAUCAGUGCUUUCUGUCUUGUUAUCACAUUUCCUUGGAGGAGAGCCCAGCCUUGGUGGAGAGCCCUGCUCUGGCUUUGUCCCUCGGCAUGAGAUGGCAGAGGAUGGUGCUGCUGGGAGACCCUCACGUCUGCACACUGGGGGCUGCUUGCCUUCUCCAUUCCUCCUUCAAGUAUCUGAGCAGCUCCUGUGUGCCAGCUGCUGGUCUACAAGAUGGAUGGGUCCUUGGAGAUCACGCUGUAGCAGAGGAGGCAGGCUGUAGCCCACACGCCACAACCAGCCCCCUGCCUGUUCACACAAAUAAAGUUUUAU
rnacentral:lncRNA from 1 species